rnacentral:tmRNA from 2 species
GGGGAUGUUUUUUAUUUGAUGUCAAAUGAAAUGAUAUAUCGCAAGUGGAGUUAGUAAUCUCGCAAAAAUUACAUAAAAUAAGUGCAGAAAACACUUUUGCCAAAGUAAAAGAGCUCUUCAGAGUUCCUAGCUUUGCACCAGUCUUGGCCUAAUAUUGUGCCUCGACCGUUUCUAGGCUAAUGUGCCUGAAAUUAACUAGAAGCGUCAUUUAUUCAGGCUAGAAAUACUAUAAGUUGGUAUUAGUAUUUCAAAACUCCCAACCAACUCGAUUAUUGGUUUUUUGUCAAUUUUAGAGCCAAUAAUUUAAAAAACAAAAUUGAAUAAACUUGUAGAAGUGUAUUAGGACAUUUGUCAGACAGGGGUGCAAUACCCCUCAUCUCCACCA